AGUCGUGUCUUUGAAGUCCUGGGCCUCUUAACGUUUGGAUCCUGAGAUCCACUGUCCUCAUCAGACACUUGGACGACCUCAUCAUCGCCCUCUGUCUGACGACGAUGGCUUGAGGGCGUCCCAGAGCUUAGACAUGCCAAGAGGCACCCCGUCAUGCCAGUAUCCCUCUGCCUUACCGAAGGAUGGCCAAGGAAAGCAUUCAGUAGCGUGUAUUUCGAGGAGCUGUGGGCGCCUUAAGAGUGUGCACCCUUCUCAUCCACCUUUAUGAGUCGUAUGUUAGUAACUAAGUGCACAAUCGUUCUCUUCUGUUUUAGU
rnacentral:lncRNA from 1 species